rnacentral:rRNA from 1 species
AAGUCGAACGGACAAUUAUUUAUAGCUUUUGGCUAUAGGCAAUUGUUAGUGGCAGACGGGUGAGUAAUGCGUAGGAAUCUACCUAGUAGUACGGAAUAGCCAUUAGAAAUGAUGGGUAAUACUGUAUAAUCCCCGCGGGGGAAAGAUUUAUCGCUAUUAGAUGAGCCUACGUUAGAUUAGCUAGUUGGUAAGGUAAUGGCUUACCAAGGCUAUGAUCUAUAGCUGGUCUGAGAGGACGAUCAGCCACACUGGAACUGAGAUACGGUCCAGACUCCUACGGGAGGCAGCAGUGGGGAAUAUUGGACAAUGGGCGAAAGCCUGAUCCAGCUAUGCCGCGUGAGUGAAGAAGGCCUUCGGGUUGUAAAACUCUUUCAAUAGGGAAGAUAAUGACGGUACCUAUAGAAGAAGUCCCGGCAAACUCUGUGCCAGCAGCCGCGGUAAUACGGAGGGGGCAAGCGUUGUUCGGAAUUAUUGGGCGUAAAGGGCACGUAGGUGGACUAGUAAGUUAAAAGUGAAAUACCAAAGCUUAACUUUGGAGCGGCUUUUAAUACUGCUAGACUAGAG